rnacentral:lncRNA from 1 species
AAUAUCACCAGUGGGAAUCUACUGUGGAAAAUUGAGUACAACACUAUCAUCAUAUGAUUUGUUUUGCUCAUAUUUGGCUGUGCCAUUGGCUGCGGAGCCAGGCAGCGAACUCCACACAAUGAGGAGCCUGUGAAAACGCAGAGAAGGCAAGAAAGGAUGCAAACAUUUAGGCAGCAUCUGAUGGUAGCUGGCUUGUGGUUUACCUGGCCUUUGGUUAGAUAACUGUGCCUGAUCCCUAUGGCCAGGAAGGAAGGAGCUGAAGAAUUCACAUUUGGGCUGAUGGGCCUGGGGUAGGGAUGACCAACAGACCACAUGCUUCUUGUCUCUUCUACUCCCUGAUCCUCUGAUAGACAGGGCUAAGUGAUCAUCCACUCCUUCCACCCUCCAGCCUCCGAGUGGGCCACUUUUCAAGCAUGGAAUUC